CAACGAUGCAUAUUGGUAAUUAAAGAGUGAGUUACAUCGUUGUACGGGAAACAUAUAAGCUACCCGUGUCUAGGAAAGGUGUCAUCACAAUCAAAUGUUAGUAACCUAAAUAUUUAGGUGUUGAAAAGAAAUAUGGGCGUACUCUUUAAGGUAAUAACAGUAUUAGUGACAUUCAACAAGUGCAACCAAAAAGAUUCAAAACAUCAUUAACCCACAGAUGAGUGUUUAAUAGACAUUUUGUCACAGGUGUGGUCUUUUUUUGUGGUUGGAUUCAAGACAAUGUCAAUAAAAGGAUUUAGAACUGAGAUUUAGAGCUGCGGUUUUGCAUAUUAUGUCAUCUCAAUCCAGAAAUGUAUUAAAAAGGGUCAUAAAUAUCUGAACUUUUUCCCUGAGAAUGUUACCCAUGACAGUUCUAAUGCAAUGGCAACUGUCUGCCAGUUACCGUCUUAAAUGUAAUAGUUUCUUAUGGGCAUUGAUGGUUGCAUUAAGAACUACGUAACCUUUCCAUUACACAAAAGGUUCGUUAUAGGUUCUUUAGAUCAGUGUUUCUUAACUGGUGGGUCACAAGACCAUUCUGAGACCAACAUCAAUAAAAAAUGAAAUUCUAAAUGUUUUUCUGAUGCAAGACUUUUAUUUUGAAAGACAUCCUUGAAAGCUGUUGACACCUUUGUCAGAUGCCGAAGGAUUUGCGUGAAGGUAUAAUUCUCAUUCUAUUCAGGAGCAGUUUCCAUGUUUCAUUAACAGUUCAUGUUAUUAUUAUUCACCAUGAUAAAUGUUGUUUCCAUAACCCAAAAUGCCAUGUUAUUUCACUUUGUGUUAUUUUUGUACAUGUUUAAAUGACUGUGGUGGCUCAUACCAACCUAAUUGUAUUAACAAACUGGGACUAGCCUUAAUUUAUAGGCUGUUUAUUAAUCAGUAUUUGUGAUAUUCUUACAAUUUAUGUUUUAAGAAACAGGGGACGGUGCUUGUGUGUGUGCAUCAACAAUUUUUUGUAAAAAUAAAUUUGCUUUGU
ensembl:lncRNA